UGUGAUUGUGAGCAUGCGUGGUGGGUGCGAUAUCCGGAAUGAAACGUUCCUCCAUGAGAGCCACAAGCGGGCAUUUAACAACUUGAAAACUGGAUUGAAAGGAAGAGACAGAGCAGCCACUGCAGAAGCUUCCAAAAUCACUCUGCACCUUCUUGAACUGCUGCAAUCUGCAUAGUGAAGCAGCUCCCAUGUUGCAAAUUGCAGAACUGCUGCUCACAGUCCAGACGUCACCGUUCAACUCUCAGAUUCAAGCCAAAAAUUAUUUUUAAAAACUCAGCGAGGGGGCUAACACAGGACACAGUGGAAAGACCAGUGAGUGCACAUUGGAGUUCUGCUUUACUGAGAACACCUCUCAUUGCUGUAAUCACAUUCUGAAGUGGCUUGACAGGGUAAAAGCUGACAGGACUUUCCCUCUCACAGGACAGUCUAGGCCUGUUUCAGGGAGGAAGCCUGAGGCUCUCUGCAACCUACACGCGCACCAGAAGACCCCUGUUUGAGACCUGAGACCUAAACUGAGCAAUCACGCAGCCCUCUUACUGGAAUACAGCACCGAAGCUGCCCGCCCCUUUAACCUGUACUCACCGCUUGUGGCUCUCAUGGAGGAACGUUUCAUUCCGGAUAUCCCUCCCAGUACGCAUGCUCCAUAGCUGAAUCCGCCGGUUUGACAUCGAACGACCAAUAGCAAGCAAGAGGCGGGACAGAAAAGGCACCGGAAAUGCUUCUCCAACCAAUCAGAGGACAAGGGCGGGGCCCAUUUCGAAGUAGGAUCACCGGACCCGAAACGUCAACUGUGUUUACUCCGUCAGAAGGGGGAGGCGGACUGAAGAUAGAGAGAGGAGAAGGUAGUUGGCUGUUGGUUUGUUCGCCGAGUUUGGCAAAAGAAUUGCAAACGUUUCGUCUCCAGUCGAGAAGUCAUCAUCAGUGCGUAGCUGCUACUGCGGAGAAGAAGAUACGUGGGGAGGAGGCAGGGAUGGAGCCUGUUAAGAAUAUGAUGGUGAAACCCAGGGACACUAACAUAUGUUUCAUGGAGAUGUUCAGGAUUCUGAAGAAGUGUCAGUGAAUGGACAAUGAUAUAGAUUCAAGCCAGGAUGCUGUGUGGUCUUGGAGAUUGUAAUCCUCAUCACUUGAUGCUCACAACAUAUGGAAAUUGUGAUCAGAGAUAAUGGGAACUGCAGAUGCUGGAGAAUCCAAGAUAACAAAGUGUGAAGCUGGAUGAACACAUCAGGCCAAACAGCAUCUCAGGAGCACAAAAGCUGACAUGUUAUGGAAAUUGUGAGACUGCUUUUUCUGUUUUCAAAAAUUAAGGUGAGAGAGCCAUUCAGCAUAAAAACAGGACCUUCAGCUCAACAUGUCUAUUCCAAUCAAAAAAACAAAACUACAUUAAUCACACUUACCUUGAAGUCGACACCCACCAGGCAUGGCAUUUUGAGUGCUCCUCCAGCUGCUUCAAAAAAUGCUGCGUUAUCUUUAAUUAUCUGUGAUGUGAGCUGUGAUUUGUCUUUUUCUUUCACAUUAUGCAUGAACUGCAUUUUGCAAAUAUAUCCCACAGCAUCAAAGACAGCAAUUUGCUCUAUAGAUCAAUAUUUUUUUCUGGUAAAUCAGACUUUCUUUUUAAUUCGUUUGGGAUUUUAGUGUAGCUGGACCGGCGUUAUUUGACCUUGAAAACUUGCAGCUCGAAGUUCACCAAAUUGGAAAUGUAGUGGACACUGAAAAAGGUUACUUCAGAGUACAAUGGGAUCUUGAUCAUAUGGGACAAUGGACCAAGGAAUGGUAGGUAGCUUUAAUUUGAAUGAAUCUGAGGUGUUGCAUUUUGGAAAUCAAAUUAGGGCAGAAUUUGUACUCUCAAUGGUAAGGCCCUGGGGAGUAUUGCUGAGCAAUGAGUCCUGGUGUGCAGGUGCUUGGUUCCUUGAAAGUGGAUUCAGAGAUAGAUAGGAUAGUAAAGAAAGCAUUUAACAUAGAACAUGGAAUAUUACAGUGCAGUACAGGCCCUUCGGCCCUCGUUGUUGAGCUGAAAUGUGAAACAAUCUGAAGUCCAUCUAAACUACACUAUUCCAUUAUCAUCCACAUGUUUAUCCAAUGACCAUUUAAAUGCCCUUAAAGUUGGGAGUCUACUCCUGUUGCAUUUGGUACAACUUGCCUUUCUUGGCCAGUGCAUUGCGUGUAGUUGUUGGGAGGUCCUGUUGCGGCUGUACACUGGUUAGGCCACUUUUGGAAUAUUGCAUGCAAUUCUCGUCUCCCUGCUAUCGGAAGGAUGUUGUGAAACUUGAAAAGGUUCAGAAAAGAUUUAUAAGAAUGUUGCCAGGGUUGGAAAGUUUGAGCUGCAGGGAGAAACUGAAUAGGCUUUUGCCUGGAGAUUCGGAGGCUGAGGGGUGACGUUACUGAGAUUUAUAAAAUCAGGAGGAGAAUAGAUAGGGUAUCUAGACAAGGUGUUUUCAGCGGGGUGGGGGAGUCCAAAAUUAGAGAGUGCAUGUUUAAGGUGAGCUGGAAAAGAUUUAGAAGGAACAUGAGGGGUAACUUUUUCUCACAGAGGGAGGUGAGAGUUUGGAAUGAGCUGCAAGUGGAAGUAAUGGAGUUUGGUACAAUUACAACGUUUGAAAAGAUGGAUAUAUGAUUAGGAAAUGUUUAGAAGGAUACACGUCAAAAGUUAGCAAAUGGGACAAGAUUUAUUGGGGAUAUGUAAUUGGUAUGGAUGAAGUGAGCUGACGCCUCUUUCCAUUCUUCACAACUUUCUGACUCUAUGAUUUGAUGAAUUUCUGAUGAAUAGUUACACACAGGAUAUUUGUCACUGGAAGUUGAUUGUCUCAUUGAAUAUCAAGGUGGUGCUUUUGGAUUUCCUCCUGUUGGAGAUAACUCCUGCCGGACAACGUUGAAGAACUAUUCUUGUUAGCCAUUCAUCAUCUAAACCUGAAUGGUGCCACAUUUUGGAUUAACGACAUAGACUUUUGCACGAACUGAGGACUGUGAAACGGUGCUGAGGAAUCGGUUUCAGUACAGUUGGAUCAGUAAUAUUUUAGCCCCCUGUCAAUAUGGCCUGAUUGUUUGUGAGCAUUCACAAUCCUGGUUCAAACAGAAACAUUCUCUUUGGAAAUGCAUAUUCGAGUGGCACAAACAUGGAACCAGAUCAUGGAAACAGCAUUGGAGGGGAGUGGGGAUUAAGAACUGGCAGGAAAACAAAUACAUUCUCAAAGUGUGUACAUGGGAAGAAGGAGUUUAUUCUUCUUUUGAGGAAUGACACCAUAACAGCUAAAAUACUUUAUUCUAAUGAAGAGAAAGCUGUAUCCAUUUUAUUGGUUUUGUUAAAAUAAUGGCGAUAAACAGCUGGAAUAAUCUUGCACUGACCAUGUGAAAAAUCCUGGAUGUUUUCAGAGACAGCUGGGCUGUCCAACGCUGAGUAAGUGCUCAUACUGUGUGAGUGAUGCUAUUUUGAAAAACUUUCUGAACACAGUUGAUGGAACAGACAAACAAGUGCCAUUGGCUCGUACUUUGGAAUAUAUCAGACCUUUCAUGGCUGCUCCCGCAUAGAAUCAUUUAAUUGAGAAAAGGCCCAUUGAGACUGCACCACCAGGUGCUGAUCCAAAUGCUUUGAAAGUUUGGGAUGUUACCUGCCUCAAUCACCCUCCUAAGCAGUGCAUUCCAACAUCAGUUGAAGUGAGAUCAGAGUAACUUACCAUGCCAACCAUGUUACUUCACUCAUUGUGGCAUCAAGGACCCUGAACAAAAAUGUGAUCAAUGUAAAUUGGAGACAAUCCUGCACUGGUAAUGUCCUCGACUGGACAAUGGGAAAAUCAAUCUCUGAAAGUUGUCAUUCAAGCCACUUGUCAUCCUGGAUAGGCACUAAAUUGCUGUUCCUUGACUGUAAUGUAUUGAAAAAAAAAUCCUGGAAUCCCUAACAAACAGCUCUGUGUGCACGGCUGCAGCAUUUGGAUUGGAAGUGUUUCAGGAAGGUAGCUUGCUGUUACUUUCUCCAGAGCUAUUGGUGACGACAAAUAAACUCAGCCUUUGCUAGUGCCUGUUAAAACCCAUGGUUGAGUGUGUCCUAUUAAAAAUAUCAAGGUUUGUUAUGUUUUCAAAGUUGAGCCCAAAGUCUCAGAAAGGAAAGACUUUUCUGUUUGAGUGUAACCCCAGCGACAUCAGGAGCAUGGUAUGACAUUGAGUUCAGGAUCCUCAUCGUUUCCAAUAAGAAGACUGAUUGUGCGAUAUCAGUGCCACUGAGUUCAAACUUUUCAUGGCAAUUUAUCUCAAUGUAACAUGCCAUCGAUACUUGGGAACAUUAUUAAAGAAACUUUGCAAUGUCUCCUUUAAUGACCUUUCACAAAUACUUGAAGGUCAACUCAAAUGGCGGCUUCACUGUUCUGAUUCAGAUCAGACAAAUUGUGACAGUCCAAAAGAAAGAAAAGAAAUGCUGGAAUAAAAAUUAUCAUGUCUAGCAGCAUCUGCAAUAUGACUUUUUCAGAACAGAUUCAUAACAGACCAGAUCUGUUAACUCAAAAUCUGUCUCCAGAUGUUGCCUCAUAUAUUGCGUUUCUCCACUAACUUCUCUUUCAGGUUUCCUUAAUCUCCGGAAUGUUGCUUUUCUUGAUGAUAGGUCCAGAUGUUGAACUUGGUUAUAUUUGGACAAUAUCGUCCAUCCCUGAUUCUGAGAGAGCCAUUGGACUGGCUACAGGUGUAUUACACCAGUGUCUGUUUCUUUAUUAAAAACAUUCUGUGAAUGUCGUCCUCAAUGCAGCAAUUUCAGGAAAUCGAUUUUGAUUGAAAAUAAAUUUCCAAGGCAGCUGCACUUCAUGAGAUAACAGAAAUAGAUUAUUCAUGACGGCACAAUCCGUGCCCUUCACUGAAAGUGUUUCCCCUCAGGCUCUGAAAACUUUUCAUACAAAUCUCAGAAUAAUUACAGCAAAGAUGGAGGUCACUCAGCCCAUCAUCUCUGCACCAGCUGGGGGUGAACUAUAUCUCUACUAUAAUUAUCCUGUAAAAUCCCGAUACACCUAACAUUUUGAAGUCCCAAAAUGUCAGCUUUUCUGCUCCUAAGAUGCUGCUUGGCCUGUUGUGUUCAUCCAGCUCGAAACCUUGUUAUUUUGAAAUCUUUGUCGGCUUUUAUUUCUGAAUAUCCUGUGCGUAUAUGAACAAUUUUAUCAUUCUGCAUACACCAUGAUUAAACAGUGUUUACAAAAAAUAUAGUUUCCUAUUACAUUUAAAAUUAUCAUGGUGUGUUCAGAUUGUUGUUUGGCAUUCCAUCUCUCAAAUAUAAUCUGUUUUCUUGCUCUGCAUUACAUUUCAUUCCAUCUGUCAGAAUAAGUGCUAGCUAAAUACUGGUGACAUUGCGAUAUCACUGUCCUCCUCUCCAGUCUCUACAGCCACUGCCCCCAUUCCUCUCUGUCUCCGAACCAAUGUCACAUUCAUUCUGUCCCUGGCUCUUUAGUCCAUGGGCUUUAAUGAACAGCAUCAUUGUACACACCACAUUUGAUUUUAGUUUUGGUCAAUUGAAUCAAGAAAUGUAAAUGUUACUGCUUUGAAGCACAUAAACUGCAAUGAAGAACUUUGUAUCUUCAACAAUACAAUGUUGUUUUAUUACAGCAGUGAAAAAUCCACACUUUCUCUGCAAGGCCAACCCAAUUUUGCUCAGCAUUUUUUUUGUACAAUCAGCACAGUAAUGACAUUUUUUUUGUGGGCAGGUAGUGUAUUGAUGCAGGUGGUUACAGCAUUGCACGUGGACAGCAAGGCAGAGCCACUUAACCUGCAAAAUGAAAACAUCCAUCAUUCUCCCUCACCACUACAUCUUUAGAGCAAUUGGUGAUGGAAUAUACGACAAAUAGCCAAUGAUGUUAACAUCCGAUCCAGCCCAGUUUCAAUUGUGAACCAAAGGUUCACUGAAGGUGUAUUGAAAGGGGUUAACUGGAACUAUUUGUUCAGUGACUAUGAUUGAUGUCAGUCUCUAUGGAUUCUAACUGCGUCACAGGAAGCUUUCCCUCUCCUAUAACUAAGGCGCUCUAUUCAAUGACUUAUCCCAUAGUAUAAGCGGGAGCAUCAGCGACAGCACUAACAGGGAUCGGCAGCUGCAGAGAGAGGGGGUGGAGAGAUCAGAAUCUGAGGACAAUAGACUGGAAUGUUACAACAAUGGAUCAGAAUCUGAGAACAAUAGACUGGAAUGUUACAACAAUGGAUCAGAAUCUGAGAACAAUAGACUGGAAUGUUACAACAAUGGAUCAGAAUCUGAGAACAAUAGACUGGAAUGUUACAACAAUGGGCAGGGGUUUAUCCUCGGGUCUUUAUUAUCUUACCGCAUCUUGGUCAACGUUACCACUUCGAAUACUAGGUGUACUGAUGAUUAUUCAGGCUGGUUACUAUCCCAUUCUCGCUGUUGUUGGUGUUCCUGGUAAGCCUUUCUAUCUCUGUCCUGUCACUACUGCUGAAAGGCAUAUACAACUUUGUUGCCGUUUCUGUUACCUGUAUUUGGAAAAGCUGCCAACAACUAUCUUCAGUUUCAAUUAAAACCUCGCUUUAUUGUCCAUGAA